CCCUUAGAUGUUCGGGGCCGCACGCGCGCUACACUGAAGGAAUCAGCACGUCUUUCUCCUUGUCCGAAAGGACUGGGUAACCCGCUGAACCUCCUUCGUGCUGGGGAUUGGGGCUUGUAAUUCUUCCCCAUGAACGAGGAAUUCCCAGUAAGCGCGAGUCAUAAGCUCGCGUUGAUUACGUCCCUGCCCUUUGUACACACCGCCCGUCGCUACUACCGAUUGGAUGGUUUAGUGAGAUCCUCGGAUUGGUCCCGGAGCGGCCUCUGGUCGUGCCGGAGUGCCGAAAAGAAUGUCGAACUUGAUCAUCUAGAGGAAGUAAAAGUCGUAACA
rnacentral:rRNA from 1 species